CCAGACUCCUACGGGAGGCAGCAGUAGGGAAUUUUCGUCAAUGGGCGCAAGCCUGAACGAGCGAUGCCGCGUGAGUGAAGAAGGCCUUCGGGUCGUAAAGCUCUGUUGCGGGGGAAAAAAGGCAGCAUCAGGAAAUGGGUGCUGACUGAUGGUACCCCGCCAGAAAGUCACGGCUAACUACGUGCCAGCAGCCGCGGUAAUACGGAGGGUGCGAGCGUUAAUCGGAAUUACUGGGCGUAAAGCGCACGUAGGCUGUAUGACAAGUCAAGGGUGAAAUGCCACGGCUCAACCGUGGAACUGCCUUUGAAACUGUCAAACUGGGGUAUGUGAGAGGGCGGCGGAAUUCCUGGUGUAGGAGUGAAAUCCGUAGAUAUCAGGAGGAACAUCAGUGGCGAAGGCGGCCGCCUGGCACAAAACUGACGCUGAGGUGCGAAAGCGUGGGUAGCAAACAGGAUUAGAUACCCGAGUA
rnacentral:rRNA from 1 species